rnacentral:rRNA from 1 species
UACGUAGGUGGCAAGCGUUGUCCGGAUUUACUGGGCGUAAAGAGCGCGCAGGCGGUCGUUCAAGUCGUGUGUGAAAGCCCCCGGCUCAACCGGAAAAGGGCCUUGGAUACUGCUCGUCUGGAGGGAGGUAGGGGUCUGUGGAACUGCUGGUGGAGCGGUGAAAUGCGUUGAUAUCAGCAGGAACGCCGGUGGCGAAAGCGACGGACUGGACCGAGAUUGACACUGAUGAGCGAAAGCUAGGGGAGCAAACGGG